AUUGAACGCUUGCGGCAGGCCUAACACAUGCAAGUCGAACGAGUGGCGGACGGGUGAGUAAUGUCUGGGAAACUGCUCGAUGGAGGGGGUUAACUACUGGAAACGGUAGCUAAUACCGCUUACCAUCGGAUGUGCCCAGACGGGAUUAGCUAGUCGGUGGGGUAACGGCUCACCUAGGCCACGAUCCCUAGCUGGUCGGAGAGGUUGACGAGCAACAGUGGAACUGAGACAGGGCCCAGAAUCCAACGGGUGGAAGCAGUGGGGAAUAUUGCAACAGGGGCGCAAGCCUGAUGCAGCCAUGCCGCGUGUAUGAAGAAGGCUUUCGGGUUGUAAAGUACUUGCAGCGAGGAGACGUUACUAGCAGAAGAAGCAUAGGCUAACUCCGUGCAAGCAGCCGCGGUAAUA
rnacentral:rRNA from 1 species